AUGUUCUCCCUCAUUUGUGGAUCCUCGCACCAAAUCCUUAUAAUAUGAUGAUAGUCCAUUUCCAGCUUUGCCGUGAACAUUUCUUCCAUACUUAUGCACUGAUAAUGGAAAUACACAAAAGUAUCCCUAGGAUAUACGUCUAGGAACUCAGUGUACCCAUGUUGUGGAAUGCCCAGAAGAGGUCAUUG